ACACUAAGACAUUACCAUUCUCAAUGUAAUCAUUGACACUAACAAAUUACCAUUUUCAAAUCAAUGAUUAGAUUGAGAAUGGUAAUGUCUUAGUGUCAA
rnacentral:pre_miRNA from 1 species